UACAAGUUCUUCUAUAUGGUGCCUCUCUCUAUAACUUUCUCUCUCUUCAUGGACUUCUCUCUCAAGAGAUUUUAUGGAUCGAUGGAGAGUCCAAAUAUUUAGAUAAACUCGAGUCAAUUGGUUGACCUUAGGAGGGGUCUUAGAUCUAUAACAUUUAGAUUUUUUUCAUAAUUUUCACUGUCCUUGAUUGACCUUGAUUAUGUGGUGGUAGAAUUAUCUACACAAAGUG
rnacentral:lncRNA from 1 species